AUAUAUAUAUAUAUAUGUGAGUGUAUAUAUGUAUGUAUGUAUAUAUACAUAUACGUAGGCCGAAGUGACGCGAUGUCGUACGUGCGAACAGUUCCAUCUGUUUGGAGAUCGCCGUUCUCUCUUUCUUUUCCUCAUCUUUUUCUACAGCCCAUCGAACGUCUAACGAUGACUCAUAAUUUCGAAACACCAAUGAUGCAAUGCAUCGCGACUCUGUCAUUCUCUCUCUGUGUCAUCGUUAUCUGCGAUACCUAUCCACGUUCGUUGCAUCGACGCCACCUCGUCAAAAAACCGUUCAUCACAAUCUGGUUCGUGUAUUUUUUUUCUUCUCUCCGUUCACACAUUGUCACUCACUCAUUUAUCGCUGGUAAUUGAAAUCACGGCCAAGCGAUUACCAUAUUUUCAGACUCAUUCUCUUUUCUUUUUUUCCUUCCUUCCCACUCGAUCAGUGGAAAUUUGCAAUCACAGCAUUUUCAACGCGCGUCACUCUCGACGUGGAUCACAAUCACAUUUACAAAAAGUGUUACCGCGACAGAGGACAAAGUUGACGAUAUACAAAGGUGCUCUGCGUCGUCUACAUCGGCAGAAAGUACAAUUAGCGAGCUACAGCUAUAUAUACGUACACAUAUACAUAUAUAUUUAUAAUAUUUAUAUACAUACAUACACACACACACACACACACAUGUAUGUGUGUGUAUAUAUAUAUAAUUUCUAUACUUAUUUACUUAUAUCGCAUCUCUGUACCGAGAGAAUUGUGGCGGCUCUGACAGGAGAUGAAAACAGCGCUGAGAACAACGGAUCGAUGGGAGUUUUCGUGGAAUGUUUUUUGUUCUACAUCUUUUUUCUUUCUUACGACUUUACUUUCCCUCGACCUUUUCAAACAUAUGCCGUCAGAAAAAAAGAGAAAAGGGUAGGUUGGCAGGUAAUGGUAGUUUCUUCAAGAUGAAGUAUCUUCGUGAUGUAGACGAAACGGAACUUCCGUCGAUAUGUUAUGUCGACGAAACCUUCGGGUACCGAAACUCGGUACCAGCGAUUUUCUACUAUCUACUUUCUUUCACUCUCUCAUUCUCCAGCCGAUUGUUAUAGAAGCCUACUUGUAAGAUUGACAUUUGGCCGAUCUACGAGAAGAAGAAGCAUACAGACUGACUUAAACGCUUCCCCGGCAAACUUUGCGUAUGCAAAUGUGUCAAAUUUUUUAAUACCAUUUCACAUCUUUUAAAACACCUUUCAAAUUUCGUAUAUUGUUACAUUUAAUUUUUCGAGUGGCAACAAAAGUUAUUUGUAUCUUCCUCGAUUGUUCUACUCUUCUUAAGGCUCUGGAACAGUCGCUGUGACUGUCCUUGUUUGAUGACAUCAGAAGCGAGAAAACGCAUGCCAAAAUUGUUUGCGUUAUGCUUUCAAGUAAAAAGAUAUAUCUACUAAAUGACAUUUGUGAUCGGUUCAGCGUACUUGUAAAAUUGGACGAACACUUUUCUUUUACUCGAACAAUUAAUAAAUAGUUGCAAAAUUAAUUUGACACAGAAUCUUCUUUUUCAACCUCUUCUUUCAUGAUUUCGUCAAUGUCUUGCGAUUACUUAUUGAUUGUUCGAGUGAAAGAAAAGAGUUCGUUCAAUUUUACAAAUCUGCCGAAUCGAUCAGAAGUGUCAUUUUACGGAUACAUCUUUUUAUCUGAAAGUAUAACGCAAAAAAUUUUGGCAUACGUUUUUUUCUCGCUUCUGACGACAUUAAAUGUGGACAGUCACAGCGGCUACUCCGCAGCGUUAAAUUGCUUUGAAAAAAUCUCCAAAUUUUAUUAGAACUUCCUGUACCUUUCCUUGAAGAUCACGUAGUUAUUUUAUCAAGAAUCAAUUGCAAAAUAUUUUAUUUUUAAUUAUUUUAUUUUGAGCAUUUUUUUACAAUGGCUCGGACACAAAUGAUAUCCUGGUCGCCACUCGGAGGGUUAAUUAAGAAAUAUCGCACUUUUAAUCAAGAAAUUAUCCCGAGAAACAUCAAUUAAAAAUAUUACUUAAAUUAUAACAUUGCUCAGAUCUAACAAAGUAUUUUACGAAGAGAAGGUAUACAUAAGCGCUGUACGCUCUUCGCGUCCGUAGAACCACAACACACUCUUCGACGGCCGCAUCGUAUUCAGAUCGACACGGGAGAUCGCACGGGAGAAGCAGCUGACGUUCGUUCGUUUGGUUAUCAUCCGCGAUCACGCGAUCGUCUUAAACGUAGUAUCAUAGUAACUCUAAAUGUAUAAAAAUGCCCAUCGUUACUUGCGAUUCUCGCAACAAAAUUGCACAGUCAAUCUUUACACAGCGCAAACACAGCUACAAUGGUAAUUAAUUGUUCUCCUAUAAUAUCAUUCGAUGCGGAUUAACUUUCUAUCGGAUAGAAAAUAACGUAAUACGCGCAGUGGGGUACAAUUUAUCCCUAUCGAUUAGAAUCUCUACGCGAUAACAAUUAAAUUUCUAGCCAAUUCCGCUCGAACGUCCCAAACCUCGGCUCGCUCAGAAAUGCCUCUCUGAACGUGAUCGGCGUGAUCACGUCUAUGAUUCUACGAUUGAACUUCGCCAAAAAAACGAAAUCUCGCGAAGGAAGUACGACGACACGCCGUGCGCUCCAAGUACUUGCCGGCAGUGGGCGGCCACCCUGUAUACUCGGUCGCUUCUCGAUCAAACAAAUCGCAUUGCUCCGACGACAGACAGCUGUUUUCACCGUGAUUUGAACGCGGAGUAACGAACGACACAUCUCCGCGUGAACGCGAGUCGAUCGACCCGUGAUUUCGCUGCUCCAGCGGUUUCCUGUCUCUCGGAGUGAAGAAACGAGUCAGUACGAUCUACGCUCAAGCACGGAUCACAUCUGUCUAUAUAUACGUAUAUAAUAUCAAGUAUAUAUAUGUAUAUAUAUUGUUGAUUGGGAAUGCUAAAGGCACCUAAUGUCUCGCUGAAUGCUGUCCGCGCAUUGACGAUUAGACGAUACUUCAAGUGCGCCCGGUUCGCGAGGAUAAUUCUCGCUGAUCGACGGCGGCUCGGACUCGAUGAUCCAUGAUUGGGAGAAUUACUUUAAAAAAAUAACUCGUUACGUUACUGACUUUGAAAAGAAAAAAGAUAACUCGUUACCGUCAUCGUUAUUCAAGAAGUAUUACUUUGGAAAAAUAACUCGUUACAGCCAUUGUUGUUCGAACGAGUCCCUGUUAUUUCUUUCACUAUAAAUUUUCACGAUCUUCUCACAACCUUCCUGCACUAAUUUUUCACGAGUUUCUCUUUACGUUUUGGCCAUCCCAUGUGCACAUACUCUACGUAUGCAAAAUAACGAUUGUAUUUGUUUUAAGGAUUGUCUACAAUAGCCGUAUGCAGUAAGCUAAUUGACUAACCACAAUCGACAUUUCUGUAAGAAUCCAAUUGGAUUAGCUUAUUGCUUAUUGCUAAGUCAAUUAGCUUAUUGCUUAUAUCUUAUUGCUAUCGAUAUAAGAAUAUAUUAUAUAUAAGAAUUAUACACACACACAUGCACGCACGCGCACACUGCGAACUAGCUUACGUAAUCAGCUUAGUUUAUUCUGCUAUUAAUAGACCGAUUGAAAAUUGUAUAUUUGUGUAUAAUUAUGUAUUGUAAAUUUAAUGUAAUCAUCUUAAAGCUCACCUUGAACCAUAUUAUGCUAGAUAAAAAAUUUUGAAUCGGUCCAUUAACAGUAAAAUGAACUAAGCUGAUCACGUUGCGUGGUUCACCCUGUAUAUAUAAAAAAGAAAUAUAUAUAUAUAUAUAUUCUUACGUCGAUGCUUACAGCUUAUUUUACGGCUAUCGUAGACAGUCCUUUACUGUUGCUCACAAAAUACGACUACGUCACAGCUACGAGUGGAAAAAAUAGAAAGAGAAUAGCACCGUUACCAAGUCGUUACUGAAAAAUGUAACUCGUCACGGUAACAAUGCUUGAAAUGACACAUUACCAACCUCUGCAACGAAUUCGGUGUGCACAGAACUUUUCUCCCGUCGAACCGAGAGCGAAUUUCGCGCACAGCCCAAACUGACAUCCGAAUGCGGUCGAGGGCGCACCGCUCUGUAAUAACCCUUAGAUAACAAGAUUGGUCGGAUCCGACCGGAUCCAUAUUCUGAUGCUUCCGCGAACACGCUUGCAAAGCGUUAUAUUUCAGAUACUUCAUACAUUUUGUUUGAUGUAUUUUAUUUACUUUUAAACUUCCGGCAUAUUAUGAGAGUAAGAAUGUCUGGUCGAAGAAAUUAGUUGAAAAUCUGCAGAACGCUUCUCUACGGGUCGGAUUCGAUCCACGUGAACCUUGUUAUCCGAGGCCUGACCGAGGCAAAAACCGGAUCCUCAAUACAUUACGAGACCGUCGUCAUCGUUUACGCGUAUUACAGUCAGUCGAUUAAAGCGACUUGCGUUUAAAGCUACGCUCCUUACAAGGUAACAUCAAGAGACGAUCGGAGCUCCCGAGAUUCGAUCCGUCCAGCCGGAUAUUUUUGAUUGAGCGACUUCCACAGCUAUCUUCACGACUACUCGGUGUGCAAUAUUUAUUUAUACAGUGUACAAGGACUACAAUUUCGAUUUCGUCGCGUUCAUCGGACCGUUCUGUCUCUCUCGCCGUUAACACUCGAGCGGACGACCGCUCUUUCCGUCCAAAGGAGAACUCGCAUUUCUACGCCUACGUCGCCGAGAGCUCACUCUCUCCGUUGGUGCUUAAGAUACCCGGUUACACGGUGGUUUGGUACCUUACGAACGGGCGAUGGAAUAGGAACGAAUCUGCCGGAGGAACUCGAUCUGUCUUCGACGCUACGCGACGCGCCUUUUUCUUUGCAGCUUCGCUCGAUUACGCGACGUUCCGCCGUCUCUGGACGACGCAACCGUCCGUUCACCGAAUAUUCCAAAGGUGGGAUCCUAUCGUAUGUAUACAGAGCGUUUCAUAACGUGCGGAUGUUAAUUUAAGAAAUAAAUUCAUGACACGAAAAU